GGAAGAAUCUGGAGACAGGUGCUGCAUGGCUGUCGUCAGCUCGUGUCGUGAGAUGUUGGGUUAAGUCCCGCAACGAGCGCAACCCUUGCCUUUAGUUGCCAGCAGUUCGGCUGGGCACUCUAAAGGGACUGCCGGUGUUAAACCGGAGGAAGGUGGGGAUGACGUCAGGUCCUCAUGGCCUUUAUGACCAGGGCUACACACGUACUACAAUGGCCGAUACAAAGGGCAGCGACACUGCGAGGUGAAGCCAAUCCCGUAAAAUCGGUCUCAGUCCGGAUUGGAGUCUGCAACUCGACUCCAUGAAGUUGGAAUCGCUAGUAAUCGUGGAUCAGCAUGCCACGGUGAAUACGUUCCCGGGCCUU
rnacentral:rRNA from 1 species